GAACGGCCCUUGCUGCUACCAACAUGGAGACUUUGUACCGUGUCCCGUUCUUAGUGCUCGAAUGUCCCAACCUGAAGCUGAAGAAGCCGCCCUGGUUGCACAUGCCGUCGGCCAUGACUGUGUAUGCUCUGGUGGUGGUGUCUUACUUCCUCAUCACCGGAGCCCUCCCAUCCCAGGGAUCCGAGUCAAAUAUAUUUUUCAAGGCCAAAUUGUUGCUCUUUUUAUUGCUUGCCAUACGUUGUUUGAUAAAUGUCCUGGGAAAGCCUAGUUUGGCCAACUCCGUUUCCAUGGUUGGUUGGUUGAUAAAGGUCCUGGGAAGGUCUAAUUUGGCCAACUCCGCUUCCAUGGUUGGUCAAGAGCUUGUGGGACUUUUAAACUUGUCUUUGUCCUGGAAUCUUGGAAGAGACUUGACAGUCUUUAGUUUUGUUGGCUCAAACCUACGGUUCUGUGUUGCCUUUUGCAUGACCUAGAAUAAAUAUCAGUGGAAUUUUCUGAAAUCACAGGUUUGAUAAAUAUUUGAGAUUGGAGAUGAGAUUUGCAGACGAUACUGUAUUUCAGUGGGCAGAAGUUGAGAAUUAAAAUAAAUAGCAUUACUAUUAAACGCUUCUGAAUUGUCUAUC
rnacentral:sRNA from 1 species